rnacentral:rRNA from 1 species
AGAGUUUGAUCAUGGCUCAGAUUGAACGCUGGCGGCAGGCCUAACACAUGCAAGUCGAGCGGUAGCACAGAGAGCUUGCUCUCGGGUGACGAGCGGCGGACGGGUGAGUAAUGUCUGGGAAACUGCCUGAUGGAGGGGGAUAACUACUGGAAACGGUAGCUAAUACCGCAUAACGUCGCAAGACCAAAGUGGGGGACCUUCGGGCCUCAUGCCAUCAGAUGUGCCCAGAUGGGAUUAGCUAGUAGGUGGGGUAACGGCUCACCUAGGCGACGAUCCCUAGCUGGUCUGAGAGGAUGACCAGCCACACUGGAACUGAGACACGGUCCAGACUCCUACGGGAGGCAGCAGUGGGGAAUAUUGCACAAUGGGCGCAAGCCUGAUGCAGCCAUGCCGCGUGUGUGAAGAAGGCCUUCGGGUUGUAAAGCACUUUCAGCGGGGAGGAAGGCGUUAAGGUUAAUAACCUUAGCGAUUGACGUUACCCGCAGAAGAAGCACCGGCUAACUCCGUGCCAGCAGCCGCGGUAAUACGGAGGGUGCAAGCGUUAAUCGGAAUUACUGGGCGUAAAGCGCACGCAGGCGGUCUGUCAAGUCGGAUGUGAAAUCCCCAGGCUCAACCUGGGAACUGCAUUCGAAACUGGCAGGCUAGAGUCUUGUAGAGGGGGGUAGAAUUCCAGGUGUAGCGGUGAAAUGCGUAGAGAUCUGGAGGAAUACCGGUGGCGAAGGCGGCCCCCUGGACAAAGACUGACGCUCAGGUGCGAAAGCGUGGGGAGCAAACAGGAUUAGAUACCCUGGUAGUCCACGCCGUAAACGAUGUCGAUUUGGAGGUUGUGCCCUUGAGGCGUGGCUUCCGGAGCUAACGCGUUAAAUCGACCGCCUGGGGAGUACGGCCGCAAGGUUAAAACUCAAAUGAAUUGACGGGGGCCCGCACAAGCGGUGGAGCAUGUGGUUUAAUUCGAUGCAACGCGAAGAACCUUACCUGGUCUUGACAUCCACAGAACUUUCCAGAGAUGGAUUGGUGCCUUCGGGAACUGUGAGACAGGUGCUGCAUGGCUGUCGUCAGCUCGUGUUGUGAAAUGUUGGGUUAAGUCCCGCAACGAGCGCAACCCUUAUCCUUUGUUGCCAGCGGUCCGGCCGGGAACUCAAAGGAGACUGCCAGUGAUAAACUGGAGGAAGGUGGGGAUGACGUCAAGUCAUCAUGGCCCUUACGACCAGGGCUACACACGUGCUACAAUGGCAUAUACAAAGAGAAGCGACCUCGCGAGAGCAAGCGGACCUCAUAAAGUAUGUCGUAGUCCGGAUUGGAGUCUGCAACUCGACUCCAUGAAGUCGGAAUCGCUAGUAAUCGUAGAUCAGAAUGCUACGGUGAAUACGUUCCCGGGCCUUGUACACACCGCCCGUCACACCAUGGGAGUGGGUUGCAAAAGAAGUAGGUAGCUUAACCUUCGGGAGGGCGCUUACCACUUUGUGAUUCAUGACUGGGGUGAAGUCGUAACAAGGUAACCGUAGGGGAACCUGCGGUUG